rnacentral:lncRNA from 1 species
AAGAAGGUGAGAUCCGAGCGGAAGGAGCUGAGCGAGAGAAGAUCCGGAGGAGAGAGGGUCGAGAUCUGGGCUCAGAUCUGGAAAUCCGCCGUGCCGAGUCGCCCCGAGCCAGGCCGCCGCCGUCGCUGUGGCCGAGCACCAGUCCUGACGCCAUCAAACCAUACUAUCGCCCCCACGCCUCGCCGCUGCUGUUUUUCCCGACGCCGUCCAAGUUUAAGGGCCGCCGUCAUCAAGCCGUGCCGCCGUGCCGUGCCAACGCCGAGAGCAGGUGACAAUAGAUCAUGCCCAUGCCAUACCGAUUUCUGCUCGAAGCUCUGACCGUCAUCGCCAUCGUCGCCGCCGUCGCCACCGCGCACCUCAGCCUUCCCCUCUCCGGCGCCGCGAAUCGAGAACCCUAGGGUUCUCGAUUUUCCGGGUCGCGGCCUCGGGUCAGUGGGUCGAACCCGGGGCUAUGAGUCGGGUAGGGUUUCUCCGUAUUUUGGGGGGCGGCGGAAAUCGGGUUGGGGUUCGGGUCGGAUCCGGGUAGGGUUUCACCGGGGGAGCGGGUUGCGGAGCCGG